rnacentral:rRNA from 1 species
UACGUAGGGGGCAAGCGUUGUCCGGAUUUAUUGGGCGUAAAGCGCUCGCAGGCGGCCCGAUGCGUCGUGCGUGAAACACCCCGGCUCAACUGGGGAGGGUCGUGCGAUACGGUCGGGCUUGAGGCCAGUAGGGGGAUGCGGAAUUCCGGGUGUAGUGGUGGAAUGCGUAGAGAUCCGGAGGAACACCAGCGGCGAAGGCGGCAUCCUGGACUGGUACUG